rnacentral:lncRNA from 1 species
UGUGCGUAUAAAUACCAUAGUACACUCUAGUGCCAUGCUGGGGAUGACAACCUAGUAUUCAAGUGGUGUUAGCAAGUGUCAACAAGCACCACGACUACACAAUAUCUAUCAUUUACCCAUGGAUCCGACGGAUAAACGCUAUACAAUCCUAAACAUGUAUAUAGAUCCAAUCUAACUAAGCCAAGUUCAUAACUAUGAUAAACUAGGAACAAUAUAAUCUUGAAUAUAAACAAGUAGAGCAAAGUCAUAAGCAAUAUAUUGAAGUAGAACAAAGUCAUAUUCAUAAUAUUGAAGAACAAAGAUAAUUAGAAGAACAAUUAGAAGAACAAUUAGAGAAUUAUCAAGAAUCCUCU